GAUGAACGCUGGCGGCGUGCCUAAUACAUGCAAGUCGAGCGAACGGACGAGAAGCUUGCUUCUCUGAUGUUAGCGGCGGACGGGUGAGUAACACGUGUAUAACCUACCUAUAAGACUGGGAUAACUUCGGGAAACCGUAUCUAAUACCGGAUAAUAUUUUGAACCUCAUGGUUCAAUAGUUAAAUUCGGUCUUGCUGUCACUUAUAGAUGUAUCCGCGCUGCAUUAGCUAGUUGGUAAGGUAACGGCUUACCAAGGCAACGAUGCGUAGCCGACCUGAGAGGGUGAUCGGCCACACUGGAAGUGAGACACGGUCGAGACUCCUACGGGAGGCAGCAGUAGGGAAUCUUACGCAAUGGGCGAAAGCGUGACGGAGCAAAGCCGCGUGAGUGAUGAAGGUGUUCGGAUCGUAAAACUCUGUUAUUAGGGAAGAACAAAUGUGUAAGUAACUGUGAACAUAAUGACGGUACCUAAUCAGAAAGCCACGGCUAACUACGUG
rnacentral:rRNA from 1 species